UUCAGACGAUGCGUCAUGCAUAUCAAUAAGCGGAGGAAAAGAAACUAACAAGGAUUCCCUUAGUAACGGCGAGUGAAGCGGGAAGAGCUCAAAUUUGAAAUCUUCAAGGUUUUACCUUGACGAAUUGUAGUUUAAAGAAGUGUUUUCUGUUGAAGUUUUGGUAAAAGUUCUUUGGAAUAGGACAUCAUAGAGGGUGAGAAUCCCGUAUUUGACCAGUUAUUUCUAGCUUUGUGAUACACUUUCAAAGAGUCGGAUUGUUUGGGAAUGCAGUCCAAAAUGGGUGGUAAAUUUCAUCUAAAGCUAAAUAUUGGCGAGAGACCGAUAGCGAACAAGUACCGUGAGGGAAAGAUGAAAAGAACUUUGAAAAGAGAGUUAAACAGUACGUGAAAUUGUCAAAAGGGAAGCGUUUGACACCAGUGUUGUUUUCUCGAAAAUCAAUUAAAAAGAGUUAGAUUUUGUUGUGUAUUGACCUUAACAGCUUGCAUUUCAAUUUUCUUGCUUUUUUUAAUGCACUUUUCGUUUAACAAGUCAACAUCAGUUUCUUUUGUUGUAAAAAGGUCAUUGGAAGGUGGCUUUCUUUUCGGAGAAAGUGUUUAUAGCCUUUGACUCCUGCAAUCGGAGAGACUGAGGUCUGCAGCGUAGAUCCUUCGGGGUUAGAUACAUUUGUGCUAAGUUAUAGCUUUUUAUAGACAACUUGUUGACUAUGAUUAGUCUUGUAGCUUACUCGCUUAUGCUAUUUUACCUACGCUUAGGAUGUUGAGUCGUAGAGCACGCAG
rnacentral:rRNA from 1 species